AAGAAAAAAGCAUGUCAAGAUAGCCAAGGAGACUGCCUGAAACCGUUACCCACAAAGAUUCAACAAGAUUUUGAAUUACUAUACUCUUUAGAAGCAUAGUAAUCCAAAACCCUACAUAAAAUUGAAUCAUGGAGGUGAAAAAGAGCAGGCAAGUCAUCCUUGGCUACUAAACAUGACUUUGUUCG
rfam:Brassica rapa chromosome A2, whole genome shotgun sequence.